AGUGAACGCUGGCGGUAGGCCUAACACAUGCAAGUCGAACGGCAGCACAGUAAGAGCCUGCUCUUACGGGUGGCGAGUGGCGGACGGGUGAGGAAUACAUCGUAAUCUACUUUUUCGUGGGGGAUAACGUAGGGAAACUUACUCUAAUACCGCAUACGACCUACGGGUGAAAGCAGGGGAUCUUCGGACCUUGCGCGAUUGAAUGAGCCGAUGUCGGAUUAGCUAGUUGGCGGGGUAAAGGCCCACCAAGGCGACGAUCCGUAGCUGGUCUGAGAGGAUGAUCGGCGACACUGGAACUGAGACACGGUCCAGACUCCUACGGGAGGCAGCAGUGGGGAAUAUUGGACAAUGGGCGCAAGCCUGAUCCAGCCAUACCGCGUGGGUGAAGAAGGCGUUCGGGUUGUAAAGCCCUUUUGUUGGGAAAGAAAAGCAGCAGGUUAAUACCCCGCUGUUCUGACGGUACCCAAAGAAUAAGCACCGGCUAACUUCGUG
rnacentral:rRNA from 1 species